GAUGAACGCUGGCGGCGUGCCUAAUACAUGCAAGUCGAGCGAACGGACGAGAAGCUUGCUUCUCUGAUGUUAGCGGCGGACGGGUGAGUAACACGUGGAUAACCUACCUAUAAGACUGGGAUAACUUCGGGAAACCGGAGCUAAUACCGGAUCAUAUUUUGAACCGCAUGGUUCAAAAGUGAAAGACGGUCUUGCUGUCACUUAUAGAUGGAUCCGCGCUGCAUUAGCUAGUUGGUAAGGUAACGGCUUACCAAGGCAACGAUGCAUAGCCGACCUGAGGGGGUGAUCGGCCACACUGGAACUGAGACACGGUCCAGACUCCUACGGGAGGCAGCAGUAGGGAAUCUUCCGCAAUGGGCGAAAGCCUGACGGAGCAACGCCGCGUGAGUGAUGAAGGUCUUCGGAUCGUAAAACUCUGUUAUUAGGGAAGAACAUAUGUGUAAGUAACUGUGCACAUCUUGACGGUACCUAAUCAGAAAGCCACGGCUAACUACGUG
rnacentral:rRNA from 1 species